rnacentral:lncRNA from 1 species
CUCCGUCAUGCCAACUCCCGCAGACAAUGGCUGCUUUGUCCAGAAGAGAUGAUGAUUUAGAUGACAACCUGGCUUAAACCUCAGAAACCUUCAAUCUCUCCUUCUUCAAACAGUUUUUAUUAGAAGGAUGGCUGUGAAAAAUGAAGCCCUUAUGCACAAAGCCACCGCGUUUCACUGCGAUGUUCACCUGGCCUAUGAAGAUCUCCGGACACAAAACCAGGCAACAAAAUCAGGAUGCAACAAGAUGGAGGGGCAAAGCACAGAAGCGGAGUGGGCCCUGCCGUAGGUGAGGGUUGCCAUCCUCUUACACCUGCCGCUUCAUGCUUGAGCUCAGAAACCAUCAGCUGCCUGCCAGACUUUUAGGAAGGGGUGGGGCCUUGUGAACUUCUUCUCCCUCCAAUGCAGGAUGGUGAUGAGUCCAAUCUUGUGCAUGUCUCGUACACAGAAGAGCUGCAAGCUCAGGAACAAAACGGCCACAUCAUGCACAGAAGACAGUGCCCCAUGACAGAUACUCCAUUUCUUACUCAGACACCCACUCUGAGAAAACAGUUGACUUUCACUGGCCAUGAGAACCAUCUGGAUUCUGGUGAUAACUGGAUCCUCCUGUUCCCAAGGCUACCCAUCAAGAGCUCACACUGCUACUGUUUCUCACAUAUCACUUGCUUGAUGGCCUAUGGGUAUCCUCAAAGCUCCUUGCUUCCUCUGGGAUCCACACUUCCUCAUGCGAAUCCAUGGAAAUAAGAAGAUAUACCUUCAUCUUCCCAAAAGAUCGGUUGGGACAGAGGUUCAUCUUGCUCCUGGGCCACUGCCACUGUUCAAGACUUGUUUGGUCAGAAGACUGCACUGGACCCUGCUUCUUCAGAAUGCUCUAAACCAAGGAGUAGCAAUAGCUUUCAAAUGCUUGAGUACCCUAAGUCUAGAGAACUCAAGUCAGUUUUUAUAGACAGUUCUCUCCCCGUAGUUUGGUCUGGCUCGUUACACUUGUAACGAAGACAUCAUACAUACACUCCCUUCUUGCAGGUACUUCUGUCUCUGUACACAGCUUUCUCAGUGAAAAGCGGAGGAAUUAAGUUUAAAAUAUAAUAUACAUAUGCAUAAAAACAUAACAAGGAAAGCCAUCAUUUUGUACAACUGAAUAAAUUAAUGAUCAUGUAGUUAAGAAAAGCAGAACUUCCUAAGUCCUUCUGCAACACAUUUGACCCCAGAUCAGGAAAUCUUAAGGAAAUGAACUUGAAUAUUGUUUCAUUUUCCUGGAACACAUUCCAUGUUUCAAAAGUCUUAGAAUAUGGACCAAAAUAAGGAUGGUUAUUUCCUUCUUAAUGAAGCUUUCAGAAAGAUAAUUUCCCAGAAAGUUUACAAAAAGAUGAAAAAGAACCACUCUUCCUUCCCAUGUUCCCCACCAGACUUGCCUUGGUUGUCUUGUGAGUUCUGUGGUCAUCUCCUAUUGUCUGGAAGCCACAGUAUCUCAGCUUUACAAAAGGAAACUCCAUGCACACCCUGUGUCACAAUACAGGAAGCUAGCCUCCUCCACCAAAGAGGAGCUUCAUCUGCCUUGACUUGUCAGCGCUUUGCAUGCUGGGAUUUAUGGAGAAUUGCUCAGGCCAUGCUAAGGAAUAUACAUGCAUAAUGGAGGCACUUCAUUAAUGGUUCAUGUGGGGGUGAAUUGUUUUACUAAUAUAAUUAGCUCAAUGAUACAGGUCCAGUAAGGAAGUGAAACCACAGAACUUCCCCACCCCCAAGAGAUGACCUAACAAAGUCAGUCAAUGUUGCAUAAUGUGAUUGUAUCAACUACCACAUAUAAGCACACCAUGCCCAGCAUGGUGGUACAUGCCUGUAAUCCCAGAUGAGACAGGUGGAGCAACCUGUGCAACAAACAUAGUGAAGCUGUGUUAAAACAUCAAAAUAAAAUACACUGGAUAAAUAAAGACCUUAUUAACCAUAAA